rnacentral:rRNA from 1 species
AGCGAACGCUGGCGGCAGGCUUAACACAUGCAAGUCGAGCGGACACGCCCGGGUGUCAGCGGCGGACGGGUGGGCAACGGGGGGGAACGCGCCCGCGUGUUCGGAAUAACUCAGGGGAACUUGAGCUAAUACCGGAUACGCCCACCUGGGGGAAGGCUUGCUGGCGGGGGAUCGGCGCGCGUCUGCUUAGCUAGGGGGUGAGGUAACGGCUCACCAAGGCGACGAGCAGUAGCUGGUCUGAGAGGCGGAUCCGCCGCACUGGGGCUGCGGCACGGCCCAGACUCCUACGGGAGGCAGCAGUGGGGUAUAUUGGGCGAUGAGCGCAGGCCUGAUCCAGCCGUGCCGCGUGAGUGAUGAAGCCCUUAGUGUUGUACAGCUCUUUUAUCCGGGGCGAUAAUGACGGUACCGGAGGAAUAAGCCCCGGCUAACUUCGUG